GUGCCAGCCGCCGCGGUAAUACGGAGGGGGCGAGCGUUGUUCGGAAUUACUGGGCGUAAAGGGCGUGUAGGCGGCCUUGUCAGUCAGGCGUGAAAUCCCCGGGCUCAACCUGGGACGUGCGCUUGAUACUGCAGGGCUUGAGAGCGAGAGAGGUAAGCGGAAUUCCCAGUGUAGAGGUGAAAUUCGUAGAUAUUGGGAAGAACACCAGUGGCGAAGGCGGCUUACUGGCUCGUUUCUGACGCUGAGGCGCGAAAGCGUGGGGAGCGAACAGGAUUAGAUACCCUGGUAGUCCACGCCGUAAACGAUGUGUGCCAGACGUCGGGGGUUAGGCCUUCGGUGUCGCAGCUAACGCAUUAAGCACACCGCCUGGGGAGUCCGGCCGCAAGGUUAAAACUUAAAUAAAUUGACGG
rnacentral:rRNA from 1 species